rfam:Ictidomys tridecemlineatus contig042723, whole genome shotgun sequence.
AUGGUCAUAUGAUGAAUAGAAUCAAAUCGCCAUCUGUCAGAUGAGUUCAUGAUGGAUGUGCUUUUCUCUUAUGAGGAUC